rnacentral:rRNA from 1 species
GGGUUAGUAGGUUGGUCAUGCCUCUGGUAUGUACUGGUGUCACUGAUUCCUCCCUUCUGAUGAACCGUUAUACCAUUUAUUUGGUGUUUUGGGGAAUUUGGACUGUUACUUUGAAAAAAUUAGAGUGUUUAAAGCAAGCUAACGCUUGAAUACAUUAGCAUGGAAUAAUGAAAUAGGACGUUUGAUUCUAUUUUGUUGGUUUCUAGGAUCGACGUA